CGUUGCUCUAUAUUUCCGGCGUCACCCUACCUUCUACCUUUGCUCAUGAUCACAGCAGUAGCACUCAUCCGAGAGGAGUUUAUGGAACUGGAUUGAUUCUUGAAGGCAGUGGUUUCACUUGGCUUCGGCCUUCACAUUUCCGAUCGCUUGUAGCCAUCUUCGCCGGAUCCAUUGUCACCUCGGGCUAUUGAAGAUGAAGAGGCAUCAAAGGGCAAGGACUCUAGUUUGAUCAACUCAGAUUGAGUUCAAAUCUGAGCUUAAAUAAGGAGAUCAAGCUCUGGAACAAUCUCAGUCGUUCAUCCAAUAUCGGAGUAGAUCUAAGACAUCCAUGAAGAAUCUGGUCCGUCCAAGCCAAGGGGGAGUAGAUCACAACCAGGGAUCAGGAUCUGAAAAUUUAGAUCGGAUUUGGAGUAAUUUCCACCGUUGGAUCAAUCUGAAGAAAUCUCAACCGUUGACUCAGAUUUCAGAUCUGAUUUAAAUGGGAAUGAGAAGCUACAGUGGGUUCAUCAAUUGGCUACACUCCUCGCGUCAAAAACAGAGGAAGUGCGGACCUUCUCCGGCGAUUCUGAUCCACUCCACCGCCGACGAGCAAGCGAGGUCAAGGGCACUUCCCUUCCUUCGAUGAUCUUUCACAAGCAACUGGCGAUGCCACUUCGAUCAUCUGAUCUCAAACCACUGCCGCGACUUCGUGCAAGAAAGAAGAAGCAGAGAAGGUGAAAAAUCUGGUGGUUUCAACCGAUUCUUUUGUCUUCCGGCCGCGAUCUUUCUUCCCUGAAGCUCCA